rnacentral:rRNA from 1 species
GAUGAACGCUGGCGGCGUGCCUAAUACAUGCAAGUCGAGCGAACAGACGAGGAGCUUGCUCCUCUGACGUUAGCGGCGGACGGGUGAGUAACACGUGGAUAACCUACCUAUAAGACUGGGAUAACUUCGGGAAACCGGAGCUAAUACCGGAUAAUAUAUUGAACCGCAUGGUUCAAUAGUGAAAGACGGUUUUGCUGUCACUUAUAGAUGGAUCCGCGCUGCAUUAGCUAGUUGGUAAGGUAACGGCUUACCAAGGCAACGAUGCAUAGCCGACCUGAGAGGGUGAGCGGCCACACGGGAACUGAGACACGGUCCAGACUACGACGGGAGGCAGCAGUAGGGAAUCUUCCGCAAUGGGCGAAAGCCUGACGGAGCAACGCCGCGUGAGUGAUGAAGGUCUGCGGAUCGUAAAACUCUGUUAUUAGGGAAGAACAUAUGUGUAAGUAACUGUGCACAUCUUGACGGUACCUAAUCAGAAAGCCACGGCUAACUACGUG